rnacentral:rRNA from 1 species
GACGAACGCUGGCGGCGUGCUUAACACAUGCAAGUCGAACGAAGAGCGAUGGAAGCUUGCUUCUAUCAAUCUUAGUGGCGAACGGGUGAGUAACGCGUAAUCAACCUGCCCUUCAGAGGGGGACAACAGUUGGAAACGACUGCUAAUACCGCAUACGAUCUAACCUCGGCAUCGAGGAUGGAUGAAAGGUGGCCUCUAUUUAUAAGCUAUCACUGAAGGAGGGGAUUGCGUCUGAUUAGCUAGUUGGGGGGGUAACGGCCCACCAAGGCGAUGAUCAGUAGCCGGUCUGAGAGGAUGAACGGCCACAUUGGGACUGAGACACGGCCCAGACUCCUACGGGAGGCAGCAGUGGGGAAUCUUCCGCAAUGGACGAAAGGCUGACGGAGCAACGCCGCGUGAGUGAUGACGGCCUUCGGGUUGUAAAGCUCUGUUAAUCGGGACGAAAGGCCUUCUUGCGAAUAGUUAGAAGGAUUGACGGUACCGGAAUAGAAAGCCACGGCUAACUACGUG